GACGAACCGAGCGAACGUUGUUCGGAAUCACUGGGCUUAAAGGGCGCGUAGGCGGAUUCUCAAGUCCGGGGUGAAAUCCCACAGCUCAACUGUGGAACUGCCUCGGAUACUGGGGGUCUCGAGGGUGGUAGGGGUAUGCGGAACUAUCGGUGGAGCGGUGAAAUGCGUUGAUAUCGAUAGGAACUCCGGUGGCGAAGGCGGCAUACUGGACCACAUCUGACGCUGAGGCGCGAAAGCCAGGGGAGCAAACGGGG
rnacentral:rRNA from 1 species